AUUGUGAAUGGUUUGAAUGGAUCUCCAAUAUCAAGUAAAGUAACGUUAGCGAAUGAUUAGAGGCCUUAGGGUCGAAACGAUCUUAACCUAUUCUCAAACUUUAAAUGGGUAAGAACCUCACCUUUCUUGGUAUGAAGGUUGUGGUUGUGGUAAUAAUGUGCCCAGUGGGCCACUUUUGGUAAGCAGAACUGGCGCUGUGGGAUGAACCA
rnacentral:ncRNA from 1 species